rnacentral:rRNA from 1 species
UACAGAGGUCUCAGGCGUUGUUCGGAUUCAUUGGGCGUAAAGGGUGUGUAGGUGGCGCGCUAAGUCGGGUGUGAAAUUUCGGAGCUUAACUUCGAAACUGCAUUCGAUACUGCCGUGCUUGAGGACUGGAGAGGAGACUGGAAUUUACGGUGUAGCGGUGAAAUGCGUAGAUAUCGUAAGGAAGACCAGUGGCGAAGGCGGGUCUCUGGACAGUUCCUGACGCUGAGGCACGAAGGUCAGGGGAGCAAACGGG